rnacentral:rRNA from 1 species
UACGUAGGUGGCAAGCGUUUGUCCGGAUUUACUGGGCGUAAAGAGCGCGCAGGCGGUCGUUCAAGUCGCGUGUGAAAGCCCACGGCUCAACCGUGGAGGGUCAUUGGAAACUGGGAGACUUGAGUGCAGAAGAGGAGAGUGGAAUUCCACGUGUAGCGGUGAAAUGCGUAGAGAUGUGGAGGAACACCAGUGGCGAAGGCGACUCUCUGGUCUGUAACUGACGCUGAGGAGCGAAAGCGUGGGGAGCAAACAGG